GCCAUUGGCGAUAGCACGAUGAACGCACCAGUCCUCCAUGGGUCACUGAAGUUAAGAAACGUUACGCGAGGUUAGUAUCCGGAUGGGUGACCAGCUGGACAAUCGCGUGCCAAAUUUC
rfam:Asian citrus Psyllid, Diaphorina citri - Florida Strain, whole genome shotgun sequence.